AUGAUGAUCAUGUUAUGCUUUUUAUACGGUUAGAACCUGAAUGAAAGUGAAGAUACUUUACUAGGGCGGUCUGAAACU
rfam:Danaus plexippus plexippus isolate F-2 unplaced genomic scaffold DPSCF300073, whole genome shotgun sequence.